rnacentral:rRNA from 1 species
UACGUAGGGGGCGAGCGUUGUCCGGAUUUACUGGGCGUAAAGCGCGUGUAGGCGGUUUGCCAAGUCCGGGGUGAAAGGCGGGGGCUCAACCCCCGAACUGCGCUGGAAACUGGCAGACUUGAGUGUCGGAGAGGGGAGUGGAAUUCUCGGUGUAGCGGUGAAAUGCGUAGAGAUCGAGAGGAACACCCGUGGCGAAGGCGGCUCCCCUGGCCGAAACACUGACGC